GCUUAACACAUGCAAGUCGAGGGGCAGCAUGGUCUUAGCUUGCUAAGACUGAUGGCGACCGGCGCACGGGUGAGUAACACGUAUCCAACCUGCCGUCUACUCUUGGACAGCCUUCUGAAAGGAAGAUUAAUACAAGAUGGCAUCAUGAGUCCGCAUGUUCACAUGAUUAAAGGUAUUCCGGUAGACGAUGGGGAUGCGUUCCAUUAGAUAGUAGGCGGGGUAACGGCCCACCUAGUCUUCGAUGGAUAGGGGUUCUGAGAGGAAGGUCCCCCACAUUGGAACUGAGACACGGUCCAAACUCCUACGGGAGGCAGCAGUGAGGAAUAUUGGUCAAUGGGCGAGAGCCUGAACCAGCCAAGUAGCGUGAAGGAUGACUGCCCUAUGGGUUGUAAACUUCUUUUAUAAAGGAAUAAAGUCGGGUAUGGAUACCCGUUUGCAUGUGCUUUAUGAAUAAGGAUCGGCUAACUCCGUGCCAGCAGCCGCGGUAAUACGGAGGAUCCGAGCGUUAUCCGGAUUUAUUGGGUUUAAAGGGAGCGUAGAUGGAUGUUUAAGUCAGUUGUGAAAGUUUGCGGCUCAACCGUAAAAUUGCAGUUGAUACUGGAUAUCUUGAGUGCAGUUGAGGCAGGCGGAAUUCGUGGUGUAGCGGUGAAAUGCUUAGAUAUCACGAAGAACUCCGAUUGCGAAGGCAGCCUGCUAAGCUGCAACUGACAUUGAGGCUCGAAAGUGUGGGUAUCAAACAGGAUUAGAUACCCUGGUAGUCCACACGGUAAACGAUGAAUACUCGCUGUUUGCGAUAUACUGCAAGCGGCCAAGCGAAAGCGUUAAGUAUUCCACCUGGGGAGUACGCCGGCAACGGUGAAACUCAAAGGAAUUGACGGGGGCCCGCACAAGCGGAGGAACAUGUGGUUUAAUUCGAUGAUACGCGAGGAACCUUACCCGGGCUUAAAUUGCAGAUGAAUUACGGUGAAAGCCGUAAGCCGCAAGGCAUCUGUGAAGGUGCUGCAUGGUUGUCGUCAGCUCGUGCCGUGAGGUGUCGGCUUAAGUGCCAUAACGAGCGCAACCCUUGUUGUCAGUUACUAACAGGUUCCGCUGAGGACUCUGACAAGACUGCCAUCGUAAGAUGUGAGGAAGGUGGGGAUGACGUCAAAUCAGCACGGCCCUUACGUCCGGGGCUACACACGUGUUACAAUGGGGGGUACAGAGGGCCGCUACCACGCGAGUGGAUGCCAAUCCCCAAAACCUCUCUCAGUUCGGACUGGAGUCUGCAACCCGACUCCACGAAGCUGGAUUCGCUAGUAAUCGCGCAUCAGCCACGGCGCGGUGAAUACGUUCCCGGGCCUUGUACACACCGCCCGUCAAGCCAUGGGAGCCGGGGGUACCUGAAGUGCGUAACCGCGAGGAGCGCCCUAGGGUAAAACUGGUGACUGGGGCUAAGU
rnacentral:rRNA from 1 species